UACAGAGGGUGCGAGCGUUAAUCGGAAUUACUGGGCGUAAAGCGCACGUAGGUGGAUACUUAAGUCAGGUGUGAAAUCCCCGGGCUCAACCUGGGAAUUGCAUUUGAGACUGGGUAUCUAGAGUAUGAUAGAGGGAAGUGGAAUUUCCGGUGUAGCGGUGAAAUGCGUAGAUAUCGGAAGGAACAUCAGUGGCGAAGGCGACUGCCUGGAUUAAUACUGACACUGAGGAGCGAAAGCGUGGGGAGCGAACAGG
rnacentral:rRNA from 1 species